rnacentral:rRNA from 1 species
AUCAGGGGUAAACCUGAGAAACCCGAAAGAUCGAUUGGGGAAAUUCAUUCGCGUUUCGAUUUCGAAGUCGAACGUUCGAGCGACGGAUAGGAACGCAUUCAUGCGUUCCGACCGCGCUCAUCGUUUUUCUGAUCGAUUUCGAACGCGUGCACUUUUCCCUAGUAGGAAGUCGCGACCCGUUGGGCGUUUGUCUAAAAGUCGAAGUGGAGACCGCGCGACGCCGUGAGGACCUUCGAAUCUUCGACAAACUCACUCGACGGUAUACUGAAGGCGCGAGGCCGCUAAAAUCGUACGAGUUCUUUCGAAUUCGUGCGACAGAAUUAGCGUUCGGCCCGCGGCAAGCACUUGUCGUAUAAUAAGACGGUCAUCGGACCCAGUGCCGAUCCCGUCGCGACAAGACUGUUGGCUGCGGUGUUCUCGGACAGACCUCGUUGAAACGCCGAUCGGCGACUCUAUAGCUUUGGGU